UACGAAGGGGGCUAGCGUUGUUCGGAAUUACUGGGCGUAAAGCGCACGUAGGCGGAUUUGUAAGUCAGGGGUGAAAUCCCGGGGCUCAACCUCGGAACUGCCUUUGAUACUGCAAGUCUCGAGUCCGAGAGAGGUGAGUGGAAUUCCUAGUGUAGAGGUGAAAUUCGUAGAUAUUAGGAAGAACACCAGUGGCGAAGGCGGCUCACUGGCUCGGUACUGACGCUGAGGUGCGAAAGCGUGGGGAGCAAACAGG
rnacentral:rRNA from 1 species